GACAGAGGGUGCAAACGUUGUUCGGAAUUACUGGGCGUAAAGCGCGUGUAGGCGGCUUGGCAAGUCGGGUGUGAAAGCCCUCAGCUCAACUGAGGAAGUGCGCCCGAAACUGCUUUGCUUGAGUACCGGAGAGGGUGGCGGAAUUCCCCAAGUAGAGGUGAAAUUCGUAGAUAUGGGGAGGAACACCGGUGGCGAAGGCGGCCACCUGGACGGAUACUGACGCUGAGACGCGAAAGCGUGGGGAGCAAACAGG
rnacentral:rRNA from 1 species